rnacentral:rRNA from 1 species
GACGAACCGUGCGAACGUUAUUCGGAAUCACUGGGCUUAAAGCGCGUGUAGGCGGGCCGGCACGUCGAUGGUUGAAAUCCCCCAGCUCAACUGGGGAACAGGCCUCGAUACGACCGGCCUCGAGGGGGGUAGGGGGCGCCGGAACUCACGGUGGAGCGGUGAAAUGCGUUGAGAUCGUGAGGAACGCCCGUGGCGAAAGCGGGCGCCUGGACCCCGCCUGACGCUGAGACGCGAAAGCCAGGGGAGCGAACGGG